GACCGAAACACUUCCACGGGCAUAAAAACUAAAGGAAAAAUAAUCAGUGUAACCGCCCCUCUGGACCGAAAAAUCAUCAUUAAAACCACCUCAACACGGAGAUCUUACAUAAUCAAAUGCUGUGGCCACAAGAAAUGCUUAAAAUCAAACAAAAACAGAAAUGGCACAUCAAAACACAAAAGUUGGCGCACGAUGUUCAACUCACCUUCCCAAAAAAAGGUUAAAAUUGGCAAUAAGAAGUACAAGUUUCCUUUUGCCAAGGCUACUUUUUCCGAUGCCAAGAAAAUUUGCGAAAAGGAUCAGAUGGAGAUCGCAUCUUUGGACAGUCC